CGUAGGUGGCAAGCGUUGUCCGGAUUUGUUGGGUUUAAAGGGUGCGUAGGCGGCCCUGUAAGUCAGUGCUGAAAUAUCCCAGCUUAACUGGGAGGGUGGCAUUGAUACUGCGGGGCUAGAGUACAGAUGAGGUAGGCGGAAUUGACGGUGUAGCGGUGAAAUGCUUAGAUAUCGUCAAGAACACCUAUAGCGAAGGCAGCUUACUAGGCUGUAACUGACGCUGAGGCACGAAAGUGUGGGGAUCAAACAGGAUUAGAUACCCUGGUAGUCCACACUGUAAACGUUGAUUACUCGCUGUGUGCGAUAUACAGUACGCGGCCAAGCGAAAGCGCUAAGUAAUCCACCUGGGGAGUACGCCGGCAACGGUG
rnacentral:rRNA from 1 species